rnacentral:rRNA from 1 species
UACAGAGGGGGCAAGCGUUGUUCGGAAUUACUGGGCGUAAAGGGCGCGUAGGCGGCCUUCUAAGUCGAACGUGAAAUCCCCGGGCUCAACCCGGGAACUGCGUCCGAUACUGGAAGGCUUGAAUCCGGGAGAGGGAUGCGGAAUUCCAGGUGUAGCGGUGAAAUGCGUAGAUAUGUGGAGGAACACCGAUGGCGAAGGCAGCCCCCUGGGUCAAAACUGACGCUCAUGCACGAAAGCGUGGGGAGCAAACAGG